AUUUACAAUACGCUCACAAAAUAUUGACUAGCUAGCUUUUAGCAUGGCGGCAGUAUUUCGUUGACGUACAUUAGCGUGAAAUCGCGGCACGCUUUGUUUGUUGCACAUUCCGUUGCAUUGUCAACGCUACAAAUGCCGUUGUGUUGGACGCGCGCGCAAAGUGCACAGAAAAGUAUCUAAAAACGUGCGAUAUUUGAACGCGGCGCAGAUAAAGCUUUGUGUAGGACACUUAACUUUUUUUCCGUAUAUUUGUUUUGUUUAGUUUGAGAAGAGUACUACGUACCGCCCAAUUGUUUUCGGUUCAUUGUGUCAAAUAGCGUUGAGAAAGAAAAGAAAAAAAAUCGUAAAAAAAAAUUACAAAAACAAGCCAACGGAACAAACGCAGUGACGCGUCACAACAAAGGCUGCCGCCAACAAACAACAAGUAGGUAUAGUUAAAGGCAUACAGCGCUGCGCUUACAUUGAAACAGUAGCUGAAGAAUUAUUGUUAUUGCCACAUCACAUCCGCCGCCGCCGCCGCCGCCGCCGACCAUUGUUAUUGACAACGCGCAACUAGCGCGCUACGUUGGGUUUGGCACAAAAGCAAUCGCCGGCAUAGCUACGGCCACAGCCACCAUCGCAUACAACAUUGAGUCGCCAUUGAAAAUUUGUUGCUUUCAUCGCUGACUGUUAACCAACCGCUCGCCAUUAGUCGCCAUUGUUGCUGGUCGGCCCUAGUUUAAGUAGCAUAUUUCAUCAUCCGUUGCCAACGCCGCCGCCGCCGCCGUCGCCAUAGCAACUAUGUUGGUACCGCCGGAUAUGCUGGCUGCGCAGACGCGCAUGAUUUAUCAGAUGAAUCGCUAUUGCGCGGAGCGUGUUCAGGCGCGUAUGUUCAAAA